rnacentral:lncRNA from 1 species
GGGCUUAUGUCUGCUGUUCUGAUUGGGUGAUUUCUAUCAUUCUAUCUUCCAGAUUACUUAUUCAUUCUUCUGGAUUAUUUAUUCUGUUCUUCAUGGAAUUUAGCUCAGCUUCCAUUUCUGCAAAAGAAUUUUAUAAUUUUUCUUGGCUCCUCUUUAUACUUUCUAGGAUUUUUUUUACAGUAAUCUGCAUUUCUGUCAAUAGAAUUUCUUAUUUCCUUCAAUAUAUCCAUUAUCUCUUUUUUAAAUUUGGUAUCUAUUAGACUACAGAGGCCUGUUUCAUUAGUUUUUUCCUUCAGGGGAAUUCUUUUGGUCAUUUGGGAGUGGUUCUUCUGUUUUUACAUUUUACUUAUAUUUACUUUGCUCUAUGAUUUUAGGAGAAACAAUUUUCUAGUGCAGUCUUUGAUGACUAUUUUUUAUAUAGAAAUGUUCCUGUGUAGCCUGCAAGUGUUUAAUAUUUUUUGUUGUGAGAAUUAUUUUUAGUAUGGAUGCCUCCCACCACUCUCCACAGUGUAUGCUGUCCAUUUUACCCUUGAUAGGAUGAUGUAACUGCCAUUGUGAUGAUAUAUGUUAAGCAGGGCCCCUGCUUUUCUCUGAAGUUGUCACUGUCCUAUUAGGAGCAGGGUUUGCUCCUUAGUUGUUGAAGUACAAGACCUAGAUACAUUUCUGAGCUGUGAACUGUGGUGUGGUAGAUAGGGUUGAAGCAUUCCCAUUAGAAGAGAAGCCACUGUUAUUCCUCCAUUGGAGCUGUUCACUUGUGAGUAUGCUUUAUUAGUGUCACCUUUCACCCGUUGUUGCAGAUUCACAGAGUACAUUCUUAAUGGCAUUGCUCUCAGCACCACCUCAACCAUGGAAAUUAUGGCAACUGGCCCUGGAAUCUCUCAGAUAUUUUCACAGGUCCAUCAGUGAAGAUAUACUGAAGUCAGGUGCAAGGACUUCAGUAUUCAUGCACCAGGAACUGUCUAAGGGAGUUAUGAAGGUGGUUCACACCCUGGUCCAAUCCAGCCCUCAUGUGCACAUGCCCACAAAUCCACAGCUACUAAGGGCAGAUCCUGGUGUGGGAGCAUGUAUUGUUCAUUCAGAUGUUCCACAGAUGCUGAAUUUACAAAUCUGGUGCCAGAGGUGCAAAUCCACAGCUUGCACGGCCUCAUGGAGAGAUUUCAGCCCUGUUUCCUAAUUUUCAAAUUCCCCAUGUCUGCAGUUCCACUUCUGUAUAUGGGGAACCCACUUGUGUCUGCUCCUGGGGCCUGCCAAGGCUGCAGUUAGCACAUGAGCCUGCCCAGGCAGAAGCAUAUCCUAGAGCCCACAGAGGCAGAGGCCAGGAGAAAGAGGAUAAAAUAGUGGCCCUGCUCUUCCUUCAGGCACCACUUAAUGGUUAUUCAUUUCUAAGGCAGAGUUCUUCUAUAAAUAUUCCUGAUUGUGGCUGUACACACUCCCCCCACUUCAGGCUGUCUCCAUGCAGCCAACGCCAUUCUUCUUCCAGGGUAUGUCCUCUAAACACCAAGUUCCAGCACAAAACCCCUGCCUGUACAAGUCGACAUGUACCUCAGUCUGGGGUAUAAGUGCAGUGACAUGGGCUGUCUGUGUAGGUCUCUCUGUCCUGCCUGCCACAAACUAUUUGAUGUGUUUUCUUAUGAGGCUUUGAAGCUCCUUUUCUGUCUUGGUGGAUCUCUCUACCAGUGAGGGUCCUUCCUAAUGUGUGGGAACCUCUCUUUUUCUUCAUCCAUCUCCCAGAGGCACAGAUAUUGUUCUGCUUCCUCUUUUUUCCCUCCUUUCAUCCUAUCAUGUUACAUGGAGAUCUGUCUUAUCUGUUUAAAUGUUUGAGAUCUCCUUAUAGUUGUUUAUUAGGUGUUCUGUGAGAAUUAUUCCAUUUGUAGAAGUAUUUUCAAUCUAUUUGUGGAAGGAGAUAAGUUCCAGUCCUACUACUCUGCCACCUUGAUUGGAGCCCCUCAAAUAUUCUUUAGGAAUUGCAUGGUGUUAUAGGAUACUUAUAUCCAAUCUUCAUUCUCACUUUUCUGCACUUAGAGUCUGACAUCUCAGGAGUUCUCACUGUGGCUCAUCAAAAACAAAUCUGACUAGUAUCCAUAAGGAUAUGGGUUCAAUCCCUGGUCUCACUCAGUGGGUCAGGGCACCAACAUUGCUGUGGGCUAUGGUGUAGGUUACAGACACAGCUCAGAUCCUGAGUUACUGUGGCUAGGGCAUAGGCCAGCAGCUGUGGCUCUGAUUCUACCCAUAUCCUGGGAACUUCCAUAUGUCAUGGAUGUGGCCCUAAAAACAAACAAACAAACAAAAAAGAUCUGACAUCUCUGCCAGGCUUGCGUAACUUCCUCAUUUUUCUCUCACAGGCAUUUUGUAUAAAAUUCUUAACAUCAUUGCAUCUCUACAUGUCUAAUCCCUACAUCUCUAGGCUCUUUGCAAUCUUAUUUCCAUUUGCCAUGUUAUUAAAAUAUUCUAAGUCUUUAGGUAUUAGGACAGGGAUGUUUUUCCUUGCCAUUAUUCUUCCUAUGACAUUAUAUAGCUACGGAAACAAAUUAACUCCAAUGAUGUAAUCUCAUAGGAAUGACCCCUAGUUAUAUUAAAUGGAAAUUGUUAUCCUCAAAAUAUUAUAUAUAACAUGAUAUAUAUAAAGUUGAAAAGUUUAAAAAUGUCUUUUAUUAAAAAACAAUGCAGUAUUAUUGAAAUGGGGGUUUGAUACUGUAGAAGUAUUGCCAAAGGAAGUGGAUGGGGAAUAAGAAGUGAGAUGAGGGAGGUGAAAUUUUGGAACAUCUGCAGUGAUGUCAAGUAUAGCUUACUUUGUCUUACUCCAUCACAUAAUUUUUAAGAGUAUGAAUUUUUAAAACUGAUGAUUCCUUGUGACAUGUUAUGAUUUUGUAUGUCUCAUGGAAAAUUUAAAUCAAUAUUGCCACACAUAUGCAGCUAUAUGUACAUGAAAAAAUAUUUUAAAAAUGAAAAAUAGGUACAGUGGGUUAAGAAUCCAACUGCAGUGGGUUAAGAAUCUGACUGCAGUGGCUCCAGUUGCUGUGGAAGUGCAGGUUUGAUCCCUGGCCCAGUACAGUGGGUUAAAUUAUCCAGCAUUGCUCUAAUUGCAGCAUCAGUCACAGAUACAGCUCAGAUUUAAUCCCUGGCCCAGGAACUUCCUUAUGCAGUGGGAUACUGGUGACCUAUUACCUUAGAGGAUUUAAGCAGAUCUGCUGAAAGAAUAUACAAAGGUGAGAUGACAAUUGUGGAUCCAUUUAAAUAAAAGUGGGUAUGUUAUUUUCUUCUAGAUUAAUUUCAGAUGCUCUCUUAAAUCUUAUUGUUGGAGAAAGCUUUCUACCUAAGCUUUUAUCAACAUGCACACAUAAGAUCACACAGUGUGUUGCACAUGCUCACCUGUUCCUAUCUAAAUAAAAUAUUAGUUAAUAUUUAGAAUUUGCUAUAGGUUUGUGUUUAGUAUUGCUUUUUGUUCCGAAUGUCUGAACUUGAGAUUCAACCACUUUAACAUCCAUACAGGAGGAGGAGUUCUUACCAAAAAAUUCAUUUGAGUCUGAUUAUAACAAUCAAAUUCAAUUGGCUACCCCAUAGUUCUGAAUUUUUUUAUCUUAACUUGAAGAUUAAUGUUUAUUGAUAGUCUGGGGUUUAAAGGGACAAAAAUUCUGGUAAUUAGAAUAUAGAAAGUAAAUCAAUUUUCUUAUCUGGGGAAACACAAUCAAUGAUGCAUUACUUUAAAACCAAGAUUGAAAGGGUACUAGCUAUAGAACCAUUUUUACCACCAGAUGGUGUUUGUCUGUUUUUGUGUAUUAUUUGUUAUCAAUAAUUACACUCAGGAUUCUGUAUGCACAGAGGCAGUGAUUUUUAAAUUAAACAUUUUAGAAUUAUUAUAGAAUAUUUUAUAGAUUCAGCUAAACAUAAAAUUCUGGCUGAUUAUGAUAAAACACAAUGAUAUUAAAUUACAUAUUGAUCUUAUAAAUAUCAAUACAUACAGAAAAUCAAUGAAAAGAAUGCUCAUAACUAGAAGGAACAUUUUAAUGUUAGAAGAUAAUGGGGACAGAUUUUAAUGGAACAUUAUGCAGAGGUUUGGAUUUUUCCACUUGGCUUUCAUCACAUGGGAAAUAUGUUUUAUUUUUCUUUCCAAAUAUUAAACAUUAAUUACAGACUAUGUUUAAUUUUCUGAAGUACAUGGCCAGAAAAAGUAUAUUCAAAUACCCUGAAAACAAAAAUAAAGAAAAAAAUUGUUUUCUCAGUAUUUUCCAAGAAAUCUAAACAUAGUAAUAUAACUUAAAAUUUGGUUCUACUUCUUUGAAUUUUUCAAAUGAGAAUCUGUAAAUAUUAUUUUGAAAAGGAUAUAUAUUGGAUAUUUCAAAAAAGUGUGUAGUUCAGAUUGGAUACUACCAUGCUAUGUAAGCUUGUACCAAACACUUAACUAGACUAUUUCUGCCUUCAUCAAGAUUAUAAAGAAGAGGGUACUAAGAUUUUUAAAUUAUUUUACAGUUCUAAAACUAUAUAAUUCUAUUAUCUUGUUAAAAUUCAUGGGUAUUUGAGAAGAAGAUUCAUAAGUGUAAAUGGGAAAUGAGAUUGCUCAUAGAAGCUGGAAGAUACACUUGGUGAUUCAUUUAUUUCCAGACAUUUUGUCUUCAGAUCCACUGACUGAUGUAAUUUAUAUAUUUUGCAUCAUCAUCCUCAAAACCAAUAGAUGAUAUAAGAUAUAUAAAGAAAUAUCUCUCAAUUAUGAAUCAUGUGUUCAACCGAGCUUGAGAAAAAAAUAAAUAAUGAAAAUAUUUUUUAUUAGAAGAGAAAGGGCCCUGUUCUUUAUAAAAAUAGAUAAAUGAAAUAUUUCUUAUUUUUAAGUUUAAUGCUGUGAAAACUAUUGUUCCCUCAUGCUACUAAUUUGAAAUUCUCAGGAAAUUAUAGUUGUAUGAGACGCAUAAAGAAUAGAUAGUCUUUUCUUAGAGCCUCAGAUAACUUCACUGAGAUUUUGUCUUCAAGGAGUUUUGAAAACUUUGUAGUAGUUUAAAUGUCAUAACUGACACAUUGUGUUUUCUUCUCCAACAUUUUCGUUUGCUACUGGGGUGCCUGUGCUGGGUUAGAGAGGAGACCAAAAAAAAAAUAAAAAAA